GACGAACGCUGGCGGCGUGCUUAACACAUGCAAGUCGAACGGAAAGGCCCUGCUUUUGUGGGGUGCUCGAGUGGCGAACGGGUGAGUAACACGUGAGUAACCUGCCCUUGACUUUGGGAUAACUUCAGGAAACUGGGGCUAAUACCGGAUAGGAGCUCCUGCUGCAUGGUGGGGGUUGGAAAGUUUCGGCGGUUGGGGAUGGACUCGCGGCUUAUCAGCUUGUUGGUGGGGUAGUGGCUUACCAAGGCUUUGACGGGUAGCCGGCCUGAGAGGGUGACCGGCCACAUUGGGACUGAGAUACGGCCCAGACUCCUACGGGAGGCAGCAGUGGGGAAUAUUGCACAAUGGGCGGAAGCCUGAUGCGACAACGCCGCGUGCGGGAUGACGGCCUUCGGGUUGUAAACCGCUUUCGCCUGUGACGAAGCGUGAGUGACGGUAAUGGGUAAAGGAGCACCGGCUAACUACGUG
rnacentral:rRNA from 1 species